GACCAUUUGGUCUGCUACACAUGCAGUCGAGCGGCAGCGGAAAGUAGCUUGCUACUUUGCCGGCGAGCGGCGGACGGGUGAGUAAUGUCUGGGAAACUGCCUGAUGGAGGGGGAUAACUACUGGAAACGGUAGCUAAUACCGCAUAACGUCGCAAGACCAAAGAGGGGGACCUUCGGGCCUCUUGCCAUCAGAUGUGCCCAGAUGGGAUUAGCUAGUAGGUGGGGUAACGGCUCACCUAGGCGACGAUCCCUAGCUGGUCUGAGAGGAUGACCAGCCACACUGGAACUGAGACACGGUCCAGACUCCUACGGGAGGCAGCAGUGGGGAAUAUUGCACAAUGGGCGCAAGCCUGAUGCAGCCAUGCCGCGUGUAUGAAGAAGGCCUUCGGGUUGUAAAGUACUUUCAGCGGGGAGGAAGGCGUUGAGGUUAAUAACCUCAGCGAUUGACGUUACCCGCAGAAGAAGCACCGGCUAACUCCGUGCCAGCAGCCGCGGUAAUACGGAGGGUGCAAGCGUUAAUCGGAAUUACUGGGCGUAAAGCGCACGCAGGCGGUCUGUCAAGUCGGAUGUGAAAUCCCCGGGCUCAACCUGGGAACUGCAUUCGAAACUGGCAGGCUAGAGUCUUGUAGAGGGGGGUAGAAUUCCAGGUGUAGCGGUGAAAUGCGUAGAGAUCUGGAGGAAUACCGGUGGCGAAGGCGGCCCCCUGGACAAAGACUGACGCUCAGGUGCGAAAGCGUGGGGAGCAAACAGGAUUAGAUACCCUGGUAGUCCACGCCGUAAACGAUGUCGACUUGGAGGUUGUGCCCUUGAGGCGUGGCUUCCGGAGCUAACGCGUUAAGUCGACCGCCUGGGGAGUACGGCCGCAAGGUUAAAACUCAAAUGAAUUGACGGGGGCCCGCACAAGCGGUGGAGCAUGUGGUUUAAUUCGAUGCAACGCGAAGAACCUUACCUACUCUUGACAUCCAGAGAACUUAGCAGAGAUGCUUUGGUGCCUUCGGGAACUCUGAGACAGGUGCUGCAUGGCUGUCGUCAGCUCGUGUGUGAAAUGUUGGGGUUAAGUCCCGCACGAGCGCAACCCUUAUCUUUGUUGCCAGCGGUUCGUGGUACUCAAGAGACUGCAGUGAUAACUGAAGAGUGGGGAUGACGUCCAGUCAUCAUGCGUACGAGUUAGGGCUACACACUGCUACAUGCGCAAUCAAGAGAAGCGAUCCUCGCGAGAGACAGCCGGACCCUAC
rnacentral:rRNA from 1 species